rnacentral:rRNA from 1 species
GAUGAACGCUGGCGGCGUGCUUAACACAUGCAAGUCGAACGAAGCACUUAAGAUUGAUUCUUCGGAUGACGUCUUUUGUGACUUAGUGGCGGACGGGUGAGUAACGCGUGGGUAACCUGCCUCACACAGGGGGAUAACAGUUAGAAAUGACUGCUAAUACCGCAUAACCCGAUAGGAUCGCAUGAUCCAGACGGAAAAGAUUUAUCGGUGUGAGAUGGACCCGCGUCUGAUUAGCUAGUUGGUGAGGUAACGGCCCACCAAGGCGACGAUCAGUACCCGGCCUGAGAGGGUGAACGGGCACAUUGGGACUGAGACACGGCCCAAACUCCUACGGGAGGCAGCAGUGGGGAAUAUUGCACAAUGGGGGAAACCCUGAUGCAGCGACGCCGCGUGAGUGAAGAAGUAUUUCGGUAUGUAAAGCUCUAUCAGCAGGGAAGAAAAUGACGGUACCUGACGAAGAAGCCCCGGCUAACUACGUG